CGACACACGUCGUGGUAUCGCGUUCGACGCGAUCAAUGCGAAAUGAGCCAAAGUUCUCGCGUGGCUGCCUUCUCGGUAUCGCGAUCCAAGAAAUUUUUGUCGGACGUGUGUAAGCUUCGAUGACAUGUAUCGUACCGGAAAUACAUUUUACGAGACGGUUCGUCUUCCCUCCAUCGACCGUUAAACCGUAAUAGAGGGACAAUUAACGGUAAAGCGAGGAGUUAUUCCGAUUAAUUAUUGCGUCGAUGAUGCCGCGUGGACGACGCAGUCAUCGUCCGAUCUCGCCACCUGCACCGUUUCGUCCUCGACGUUGCGCCCACGUUUCGUCUCUUUCUCUCUUUCGCGAUCGCCCUACUCGUUGCGGUCGUCGCAAGAGAACGUUAUCCCCCCCUCACUGAACUUUACGAACUCCCUCCACGUAACGAACAAGUCGAAGGAACGCGGUGGCGCGUUGCUCUUCGGCACCGGGGCGCCUGUAUUCCCACUCCACCGGCUUUCCCCACCACCGUCAAUCUUAUCGGCUUAUCGCGAGCCUGAUUGGCUGUUCGUGACGGCAACGCGCGCAGCAACGGCGCGACUUGACCAGAGUCCCCGGUAGUUUCCACGCAGUUCAGUUCACAUCGUUUCUUUUAUCCGGUUGGUUGUAUUCGCGCGUGAUUUUCAUCCGGUUUGCUUUUUCAUAUUACCAUGCGACGACUGCCCGCUUAUAAUACAUCGUGUUUUUGCUCUUACUAACGUAGAUCAUUCUUUAUUCUUUUUAAUUUUACGAGCGGCUAUUUUGAAACGUUUCGAUAAUUUGUCAUCUUCUAUCGCUUGAGAAUCCGGUAGACCAUCGUCGAUAUUUUUCCAUGACGAUCCUUCUUGUCACGUAAGUGCUAUUACAUGGAGAGAGAGAGAGAGAGAGAGAAAGAAAAUCGACCUUCGUACUCGUUCAACUUUUGCCCCGUCCUUCGCUUCUCUCUCUCUCUCUCUCUCUCUCUCUCUCUCUCUCUCUCUCUCUCUAUCUCGUUAUACGUAGGUCUCGCGCGCGUGCGUUCUUUCCCCUUUUCCUUCUCUAGCACCUUACCAUACGAUCACCACCACUACCACCCAGAAUUACCAUCUUCUGCUUAACUUCUUUACUCCCUCCUCCGUCUUCUUCGUCUUACUUCUCUCUCUCUCUCUCUCUCUUUCUCCCCCCACUCUUCUCACUAACCCUCUUCCCCUUCUACCUCGUCCUUUUCCUCCUCGAUCGUGUCCACGCUUCCGGCUGACAGUGCGGUUUUUGAGUUCGUGCAACUUAGGGGUACGUCCCUUCUUUCUCUCUCGUGAGUUUCUCAGUGAACAUCGCGAGCAUUCGUCGGGCACUCCAAAUACGGUAGGAAGUCUCGUACUUGUGCGGUCUCUACGAAAAAGAUCUACCUCUCGUACUUAUUCGCGUUUAUAUUCUUUCGAAAAGCUGUCCACGUUAACCGUUGUCGUCGAUCUUUCCCUCCGCCAUGCUCUUGCCAUGCCCUCGAUGCUUUCGAAUAUCGAUCGAGGUAUCACGCGAGUGGUAUUCAUUAUACUGGGAAGCCAAUAUAAUAGGUAAGCAAAAAAGAAAAGAGAAAAAAAAGAAAAUAAGCUUGUAAUAUCUAUCUUAUAAUGCUUUCAUGGUCUUUACCCUCCACGCGCAUCCGCUCAGUAUCCGUUCAAACCGGAUUCUACCGCCCCCUUCGUCCGGCUGGCGAGUUCGCUCGUUCCUUAUUUUUACGAAACGCAAGACAUUCGAGAUUCCUCGUUCCUAAUGAUAAUGAUGAUGAUAAUGAUAUAUCAGUGUUUGAAUUAAACGGUCGGAACAUUAUGUAACCCGCGCGAUUUGAACAUGGACGCCACGUGUCCGCCUUGCUUCUGAGAGCAUUGUGCUUCCGAUAGUCGCUAGGCGACGAAGAAGUAGGAUGAAGAAUAAAAAGAAGAGGAAAAGAAAGAGAAAGACAGGGAGAAGGAAGGGCAAGAUUGAUGAAAAAAGCUUUCCGGUUUUCUACCCUGUCGCAUUUCUUCAUUUUUUCUUUUUAUCCCUUCUCACUCUCUCUCUUUUUUUUUUUUUUUUAUUUUUUCCCCUCGACGGCGAGCCGUCGUGGCCGUUCGCGCUGUCUCUCUUUUUCGUCGUUUUUCCGAUACUGCCGAACGUAAUGGCAGCUAUCGGACGGCGUAACGCGAAGGGAACGAACGCGAACGACACGGUAUAUGGGCGGGUGUCGUCGCUGUGGCGGACACGCCCAUUGGUUCGUUUUGUUCGUUGAAACCGGCCAUACGUUUCUCCGCGCGCUCGAUCAAAUUGAAUUCCGUCUCUCUCUCUCUCUUUCUCUCUCUCUCUUCUCUCCUCUCUCUCUCUCUCUCUCUCUCUCUCUCUCUCUCUCUCUCUCUCUCUUUCUCUCUCUCGUGCACGCACGGUGGUGGUUUUCUGAGGUAGUAGCCUCGCUUUUCUCGUCACGCCAUAUUUGGCGCUCGCAAACGGUGUUCCGCUCUUAUCCCUCUCUUUCUCCUUCGCACUCCGUUUCUCGUUCCAUGAGCCAUCUCGCUCUCUCAUGAUACCUUAUUUUCACAAGCGGAACGGGCACGCGCGCGCGCGCUUAUUCGCUCGCUCACUAUCCGAUGGAGUCGAAUCGGUGUAGCUAUUAUUGGACUCCGUACGCGUCGUCCUCUUCUUUACCGAACCAACGACAACGACGACGACGACGACGACGACGACGACGACGACGAUGACGAUGCGGCGUGGCGCGAAGCGUGCUCUUGCGCGUGAAAGUCGUGUCGAUGUGGCUGCGGCGGAGACGAGAGAAGGAAGGUGGUAGCGAGGAACCGCAUUCGAAAUUUAUCGUGCGCGCUCGGCACGACUCGUCGUCGUCCCCCGCAUUCUAUCUUCUUUCUAUCUCUAUCUCUAUCUUUAUCUCUCUUGCUUCGCGACACCACCCGACGAUCGCAGACGAUCGACGCUCAUUCGUCGUUUCGCAGCGCGCACGGAUGCGCACACGUUGCUGCAUGGCGCCGUUACGUGCAUGCGUGCGUCGUGCGUUCAUCGUGCAUGCGUGCGUGCGUACGUACGAGCCGUGGAAAGCACUGCGCGUAACGAGCUGCGAGGAAGAAAGUCCGAGAAGGAUCGAACGUUUAGGUUAAGUUUGAGGAAGGGGUGGGGAAAGGUUGCUCGCGUGCCCAAGAAACUGCAUUUUUGAAAAGGAUCGACUCCAUUAGCAUAUAUAUAUAUAUAUAUAUAUAUAUAUAUAUAUGUACGUUGUAUGAAAAAAAAAUAUAUAUAUAUAGAGAGAGAGUGAUAAAUUAACGAGUCCGACGUUGGAAUGUGCGCGAACCAGCUAGCUUUUUCUUUUUUCGUGUCUAUAAUCUCGAGAUGAUCGAAAAUGAUGAGAUAGGUUUAUUUUAGCAGCCAUUCAAUCAGGAGAAAGAGUUACGUUGAAAAGAAAGCCUUGCCUUAUCUUCUUCUGCGUUUCAGACAUCUUUGGACGCAUGGAGGAGAAGGCCAUCGGAGAUAGGUGGUAAUACACGAACGUGUCUCCUACUCGGCGCAUCAGGAAGUAACUAGCGAUCGACAGUGGUGGAAGGUUUUGAAGCAGACGCGAGACGGGUUCGCUCGAUUUUCUUUUCUUCUUUUGCGUCGUUGUUAUCGACGUGUGUCUCUUCUCUCAUGCCUUUGAACUUUGAACGAACGAACAAGACCUUUUCGUUUUGCUGCAUCGCAUAUGUACAUAUAUACAUAUAUAUUUAAGUACAUAGCAACGCUCUGUAUCUUCUUUUCUCUGGCACGUUAUCUCAAUGAACUCUUGGAAAGUUAUAGCUUGACAACGAACGUAUAUCUACGAUUCGUAUUUACGCAUUCUUUUCUUAAAGAGAGUCGCAAAAUUUUCCAAAGAAGCGAAAUAAGAUAUCUGUUAUUCGAUAGAAGGGAGACCCAGCCGCAAGAUAUUUUUGUCGUAUACCAAAAGCUAUAUACACGUACUGGAUCGUUCGUUAGGAAGGAAGACGUGCAUUUACGAAAGUUCUUUCGUUCUGUUUCAUAACCUGCCAGGGCUAAAAAGAAUAUUGAGACGUUAUUAUAAUGAUUCGAGUUGGUUUUGUCGUUCCACGUGUCAACUCGAUCUUAACAUUCUAAACAGUUAUUUUCUUCUUAUCUUUUGGAUGACAAAAGUCAGAUUCUCGCGUUUCGCUCUUUAUGUAUGUAUGUCCUUUGUUUCAUUGCAAACGCGGUUGCGUUUUGCCCAAAGUACUCUCUUCUUUGACAAACGCAAAAAGCACAAUCCACGAGGAUUCGACAAAAGUACCUCUUUGACUAACACGAAUCCGUCUUCUUCUCGAAAUUCUCAAGAGAGAUAGCAUCCAUUUAGCGAGAGAGGUUUAAAAAGAACGUUCAUCCUUCGGUUCUUUGUUUCUGAAACGAUGACUCCAUCUUCUUGGUCGCCUAUUUUUCUUUUUUAUUUCUUUAUUUUUCUCUUCUGCAGCCUAGUACGAGCAAAUCGAGUUUUUAUCAUUAUUAUUUAUAUCAUUAAUUUUUAACGAACUUUCUAAAACUUCCAUUUAUUUCUAAUUCCUUUUCUCUAUGCUUUCCAAAAUUCGUAAAAAGAAAAAAAUGGAAUUAGCCAUGUAAAUUCGUUCGUAUCGGCAACCUACCUCUUCGUCAAACUUCGGAUGGAAGCCAUGGGAAAACGUAAUAAGUUUCGAUUUAGUUUUACUAAGGUCGCGGGAGCGUUCGAAUGGACACGUUCGCAAGAACGAAUAACUACGGGCUCGGGUUUAUGUCGAUGGCGUUAUUACUUACAUACGUACGUGCGUGAAAAUAUCGUUCCAUCGUUCUCCUCAUACUCGUGCGUUCGAUGACGUCCGGUCUAAAAACGCAUUUAAAUUCUUCGAUCACAGUCAUGGGAGAACCGUUAACCCAUUAACGAAGAGCCUCUUAUAAAUCAGCAUUCGUUCGCAAGAAAGCGAGUCCCACUUCCGUGACGAUGCUUCGUUUCGAGAGGAAGAAAAAGAAGAGGGGUAGGAAAUUUCGCGGGAAUAUUUUUGUCCCUUUUGGCGUAACGGCCGUGAGCUCGAAAUUAAUAGGGCUCGUUUACGAGCGAGUUUUCGGCGAUUAUUCGUCUCGUCGUCGCCGACUACGAACGUUUUUCUUCCCUUCUCUUUUUCUCUCUUUAUCCUUCUUCUUCUUCUUCUUCUACUACCUACUACUACUACUACUACUACUAUUUCUUCCUCCUCUUUUUCUUCGAGGGAGAAGGAAGAAGAAAAAGAAGAGGGAAAAAGGGAGAGAGAGCAAGACGAAACGAGACGAGACGAGACGAGACGCGACACGGGUGCUAGUCGAGUCUCUUUUCCCGUGAAAGGAGGUCUGAGACGCGGCCAUCUUUGGAGAGCAGAUUAAGGCUCGUUAUGGAUAUUAGUCUUUGCCGAUUUGCAUAAAGGCGGAGAUGUUGAUACGUACGAGUCGUGCGAUAACGAGCGACGAAUGGCACUGCUUCGCGGGAAAAGAAGUUAUUUCAUUAUUUCUUCUCUCUCUCUCUCUCUCUCUCUCUCUCUCUCUCUCUCUCUCUCUCUCUCUCUCUCUCUCUCUCUCUUCCUUUUUAUUUAUCGUCUUUUUUCCACUUUCAUUCGUAAGAAAUACUUGUCAAGUAGAUAAAAAGGAAAUUAUAAUUCGCCUACGACGUUUAACGUAAUAUGUGAAAAAAUCGAAGAAUCUUAAUUUCGUUGAUCCGAUUCGCUCGUCUUUAUUAGAAGUAGUCGCAUAAAAUGAUUUUCAACGUCCUCUACGUCUGCUCCCUCUUUUUUUCGCUCUAUUACGUUCAAUAAUUCAUUUCAGUUUUUUUGCACUUUCAAUUCGCACCGCUUCGACCGAUAAUUAGGAUCUUCUCGUUCAAAUUUACGAUCUACGAUAUCGCCUCCGAUAUACCAUUUUGCUUGGAAAUUUCUUCAUUUUUUCUUCUCUCUUUUCUUCUCCUUCUUAUCUUCUUUCUGCUCCUCCUCUUCUUCUUCUUUUUUCCUCGUACCAUGAGAUACGCGUUUCUCUUCGGUCGUCGCUUCUGGAAACAUUUUCUCAAACAAAUUUCUACCAACACCAGAGAGAACCACAGCGAGUCGCUUCGCAAAACCGGUUACGUGAAACUUACAAGAGAAGAGGACGUAUAAACUCAUUUCGAGGACGGUUCGAGCUAAGCGAACGAAAAAGAGGUCGCCUUGCUUCGAUUCGAUCGAAAUUUCAAAAAGUCCCGCUGUCGUUACAAUUCGUUUUACAAGGUGAAUAAGUAUGAGCAUGGACGAAUGAAAACGUUUAUCGUUUUCGAACGAUCUUCUAAAGUAUCGUCUUCUUGGUCAAAAGGUAGAACGACGAUAUUACCGAUCGAGCUUCGGAAAAAAGCAGAGGUGAAUAUCGGUAAUGUCGAUUUCUACGAUUCUUCGAGAUACAUCCGAUAAAAAUAGGUUCGUUCAUCGGCUCAAAAGAAUUACGCUGGGAUCCAUUCGACAAUUUGUUAAAAUCGGCGAUUAGCUCAGUUUUUUACAUCGCGUACCAUCGAAGAAAAAUAAUAAACAAAUGGGAAGUAAAGAUUCGAAAUUGUGCGAUGUAUAUAUAUAUAUCUUCUUUUCUUUCGAUUUUUUUAACUUCUUUCACCAGACACGUUUCUUCUAAAGAAGCUCCGGUAUGUGCUUCUCGACAAAACGAAUGACUUAAUUAAGUGUUCCGGCCAUUAAACAUUUAUAAAUAAACAUAUGAACCGUCGAUGAUGAGGUAACGGCGCAUCGUUAUCGCCUAAUUGCGAUGCGUUAGUCCUGCUUUUCACGUUAAGUAAACUCGGCCUUUCCGUGCAUUUACCAAGUAAAAUUCUUCCUUGGUUGAACAAACAUUAAUAGAUAAAAAAUUGCAAUGAUGGUAGUCACGACAGGGUAACGGGAUUUCCAAGGAAAAAAAGAGGAAAAAACGAAAAACGAAAAAAAUACAGAAUACGAGUUGUUUCUCGUUAACGUUGAAACUUCUUGAAUGAAAUGUAAGAAUCGAAUCGAGGAUUUUUGCGAUCCCGAAACAUCGCGAAACUCGUUAAUCCUAUUCAUGUGCGCUCUAUAAUUAGAAGAAUUCUCUUUUUUCAACGUGCCCGUUAUAGCAUUUGCUAUUUCACUCUCUCAAUACGUAGAGCACUCUGGCUCGCGAGGAAUUCGAAGAGCUUGCGGAGUCGAACGAUCGUGAAGUAAGAUCCACCUGUUUUAUCUUCUAUGUGUUAGGCUUUCGACAUCGGUUCGUCGUUAAAAAGGAAAGAAAAAGGAACAAAACAGAAUAUACCUUUUAUUUAUCGAAGAACAUACAAUGAAAAAGGAUGGAAAACGGCAAACGACCUUAGACUUGAAAGUACAUUCACUGCUCCUUUCACAGUCUCGAAGAUAUUUUAGGAUCUACAGUUUACUGAUCUCAGCGUUAAUAGCUGCGAUAAUAACGAUGCGUAAACGGAAGCUGCGGAGGAGGAUAAGGCGGAGGGAUGGUUAUGCAGGGAGAGAAAGAGAGAAUAGAAUAGAAUGAAAAUGAGAGAGUACCGAUUGGUACAUUGCGCAGGACAAAACGAAAGUUAUAGUUCUCUCUGUUUCUCUUGCAACACACGUACGUUCAACCGAUACUCUACCACGACUGGUUGGUAAAAUCUAGUUUCUUCGGGGAUACGGUUUUUAACGAAGUAACGAAAUCGGCUUAGGAUUACACAGCUGGUCACACAUCACCUCCAACUUCGUCGAGUUCUAACGACGAUCGAAUUUCUUUUGAAAAACGCGAGACGGUAGUCGCAUCUAAAUUGUUUCAAAAAUCGAUUCUUGGAAAUCACCUUGCUUUUUGAACGGACUAUGUAAGCGAUAUGUCGCUUUAUCGUCGAAUACUCGUACAUAAUUCUGAUAUAGAAUAGAAUGAAGAAUGAAGAAAUACAAAAGAAAUUAAAUGAACUAAAAAGAAAAAGAAAAGAAAGAAAGAAAGAAAGAAAGAACAUCUUCCUUUCGAAUGGUAUAAUACCUCGGUGACAUCCGUAAUCCUCUUCUUUCGAGAAAUAUCAUUUUUAACAGAGUUAAUAAUCGGAGGCGCAGGAUCGCGCUUACUCUCGUCCGACGUGCGACUUAAUAACUAAUAAUUUUUUAUAAUAACUACGAUCUCGAUGGCAACAGUAAAAUUGUCGUUUCGGAAAUAUCUUGUGACACGUUACACGAUUUACUACGUUGCGAAUAAGUCCAUGAGAAUGCUAUGUUAAAUUUCAAAAUGCGUGUUCACGAUAUGGAAAAUGUUCGCAUCGUCGCAUAUCUAAUAACGAUGAAUCGUUAAUUUAUCUUUAUACCGUAUGCGAUGACAAUGAGGAUUACAAGGUAAAGAAAUGCAAGUAGGAUUUCAUUAAGCAGUCUGUUCGCAUUGUAUUUGUUUCUUUACCAGUGCGAGAACGAUUAUAAGAGUUCUAUCCAUCGAUGAAUAAACACUAUUCAAUUUGACCUUCGCUUUUGAGUACGUAAGUAACGAUCUUAACACAAUGAUUCAUUGGAAAUAAUAAAUAUAUUCUUAAUAAACAUAUAAUUGUACGGUAGAAUCGUCAGGCAUGCUAAUCAGACGAGACAUACCCCCCUCUCCCUUCUUUCCAAUUUGAAAGUAAAAUACAUUUAUCCGUUUCACACUUUCAUUCUAUGUAGAUACGUAUGUAACGUGCAACGAAUAACGGGUGAGUCGGUAAUGGGGGAGGGCAACGAUAGAUCGCACGACAUUUGACACGUAUAAAAUUCGUAAUAUCUUCCACACGAAAGUAGGAUGAGGUUUGAAUUAAAGCUCGGACGAACGAAGCUUCGCGUGCUUUUCGAAUCUCCUUAUCGUGUUUCUCUCGGAUGACAAGAUCCAUAGCACGCACGUGUCACUUACAUGAUGGAUAUCUCUCGUUAUAAAGAACUUACUCGUCGUUCCGCCAUAUUGAAAAAUCAUUCACCUUGACUCGACUUAAGAAGAGAAAGGAGCAGCAAAGAUAAGAGAAAAAAAAGAGUGAAAAGAAAUAAAUAACCACGGCGUGUCGUUGAUUCGAAGAAAAGAAAAAAAAUGGAAAACUUAAGGCAAAGAAAGUAAAGACGAGUACGCAGGUGAAUGGACGAGGACGAGGACGGGUUGAUCGAGCGAAAUGUAAGGGCGAAGCGACGGCGCAAGCGGGUCCCAGUGAAUGUCCUUGGAUAAAAGGUGUCAUCGUACGGAGUAUCUGUUCACAUCUUACCGGGCAGCAUUGGAUUGAAGUUGAACCUUCUAAUACUGUCAGGUAAAGAUGUCGUCAGGAUUCCGAAAUCAACGUGCCAACACGGCGACAACCUAGGACGACUACGACGACGACAAGGAUCGUAACGAGCAUCGACCGAGUAAACGUUCUAAGAGCGUUACCUAUAGCUAUCUUAUACACGCUGUUGAGACACACGACGGAUAAUAUUACGUCUGGCUGCACGGGUUCAUACUUCUUAAACUUCUUAAGUAGCCGAGAAUAACUUUCACGCAUAUACACAUGUACAUACAUAGAUGGAUAGAUUGCACGUAUGGUAAAUGGUAAUACGAUAAUUGUUAUCCAUACGACACAUGUAUACAACGAAGUAUUUCGUAGGUCUUAAUGGAUGAAUUUAUUAGUAGCACGACAGAUACGAUCGAAUGUUAUUGAUAUAAAAAAGAAAAAAGAAAAGAAAAUGAAUCACAAUUUUCAAUCUUAGAGCGAUCUAUAACUAAUUAUUUUUUAGCUCGCUUUGCUACACGUGCUUUGUAUUUUUUUUUAGUUCUUGUCUCGGUAUAACAAAAAAUUGAGUUCUUUAAACACAAUUCGUUGACUCAAGCGUGCUAUUUUAGAGUUAAGUAUUAUUGUUUCUAUGUCACAGAAAUACGAAUUGAAAGUUCCUUCGAAGUUUUUUGUUUUUUCAUUUCUUUUUGUUCGAUAGAACAUAAUUAAUAAAUUGGACAAAAAAUUACUUACAUAUAAGCUAGGAUUAUACUUAUCAAUAUGCUUUUUCCAAUUGAAUUUUGUUACCAACGAGCGAUGGAAAGAGCAUAGGAUUAAAAUAUAAAAAUGUAAAUCCAUAGUGGAGAAAGAUGCAUUCGUGUAGAUUGAAGAUUUCCUUUCUUUUUCUUCUGUUAAGAAGAACCUGUACUGGCUCUCCGACAAAUGCGAUCGCAUCGCCGUCUUCGAAAACGUCGCGACAUCGAAAGGUGCAUCGUAAUGAGCUCCUCACGCCUGUCGUGUUACUCGUGUUGCGGGUAUAUAUAUAUAUAUAUAUAUAUAUAUAUAUAUAUAUAUAUAUAUAUAAAUGUCUGUGCAUGUAACAUAUUUUCUGCUCUCCCGCGACAACAUAAUCCCCAUCCAGAGUCGAACGUGUGUGGUGAUAAUCUGCGCUUGAGAACGUUGAGACGAGGAAAGGAAGAAACAAGCGGAAGUGUAAUAUAUAUACAUGUCUUUCUCUCUCAUUCUCUGCUCUUCUCAUUCAUCAUUUGUAGUUUAUUUAUAAAUAAAAUUCUAUCUCUAUCUCUUUCUUGCUUCGCGUAUAGCAUAGUACCGGUUUUCUGUAAAUAUUUUCACUCUGUUUCUAUGCCAGUCUUAAAAAAACGAUCGAGUCUUUGGAAUUUCGUGAACCGACAACAGCGCGAUACGUAUUUUCGGUUGAUCGUGGUGGCUCGCGUGAUUCUUGCGGUGGCGGGGUCAAGAAAGAGGAAGAGAGAGAACAUGGCGGGCAAAGCGGGGUCGGGGAGAAUCAGCUUCGAGAGAGGAAAAGAACGAGGACGAUAAAUAAGGUGGUCGCUGUCUGCAGGCGCGCCAAGCGCUGCGUGUGUGUAUUCGUGUAGGUACAUGCAUCACGUAAGUACAUGUACACUACUUAUGACAAGUAUAUGUAUGGAUGUACGUACGUUUCACGUGUGUGUGUAUGUGUGUAUGCAUACAUAUGUAAGCUUUAGGUACGUACAGCUUGCUCACAUGCCGAGGAAAGGAGAAAACACUCUUGCAAGUCGAACGACCGUGCACGCAGAAACGGCAGGAGGGUUCUACGAUCCUGUAUCGUUGUCGGUAGGAGGUAGAAACGCGGCAAAAGCUCUCCACAGUCUUGUAGUCGUAUGCCUCGGAGCUGCUCGGCGCGGCGAGCGAGUAGGCGCGUCAGGAAUGUAACGCCUCAAAAACGAUGCCACGAUCGUCGUAAAGCAUUGCGUGGGUCCGCCUCGCGACGUGGAAAUGAAUACGCCAGUGUAGAAUUAAGAAUGAUCGAAAAAUAGAUUCGAUGUGAAAGGAAUUUCGGUUCGUUCGAUUCUCCAUAGCGUGGGCUUUUUUCAUUCGAUUUCGUUUCUUAUAUUAUUCUUGUUCGUUCGUUUGUUUGUCCAUAAAGAACAUCGACGUAAUUGGUAGAAAAUUGUUAGAUAAUUACUGAUAAUCGAUGCUACGUCUUAUCAUUUUUUUAUUUAAUGUCUUCAGAAGACAAAAAUAAACAACAUACGAAAUUAUA